UUUUUCUUUCUUUUUUUUUCUAUUUUUCUUUCUUUUCCCCUUCCGUUCUUCUUCCAGCCGCUAGACCCCCUAUCUCCACCUCUCUCUUGCCUCUCCCUCUCUGCAACCCACACGUUUGCCCAACCGUCGUCGGAUCUGAAGCCAUUUGUCGGAUUUGAAGCCGGAUCUGAAGUCGUUCGUCGGAUCUGAAGCCGUCGUCGGAUCUACAGGCCGGAUCUGAAGCCGUUCGCCGCAGCUCUGUUCGUUGUCGCAGCAUCGCUCGACUGAAGAUCUGAAGCCGUUUGCCGUAUAUCUAAAGCCGUUCAUCGAUUCUGAAGUCGUUCGCCGCAGCUCUAUUCCUUCGGGUUGCGUUCAACCGACCAUCCGACGACCGCUUCUUAGACUGGCCGACACCCAUCAGUCUUUUCGUUGUCGGACGGUGUCCUUAGGUUUUCACUAGAUCUUGAGUUUUGGUAUAAGUUUUUGGGUUUUUCUUGAAAAUUUACCCAUUAAAAUUUUUUCCCAAUACUUAUUUAACCCAUAAAUUUUGGAUGAUGGAUUAAGGAAUUUGAGGAUAUUAAACCGCCAUCCAAUAGUGUUUAAGGUUCGAUUUUGGUAUUUUGGGUUAAAUUUGAUUUGCCCUUAUGUUUUGGGGCCAGAACUUGAAUUCUUGGAAGGAGUUGUGUAGGAAAAAGUUUGUUGUCCAGUUCUUUCAUUGAUCGACUUUGGAGGUUGGAGUUGAGAUCUUGAGGUGGUUUUGGAUCAAACCACUACUAGGUAAGGUGUGUCGUUAAUUUUUUGUGUAAGGGAUCACAGUUAGUCUCAUGUUCCAUCUUAUUUAAUUUAUGCAUUAAGGUUACAACUAUUAGUUAUGAUAAUUUUUAACUUGUUUAAUUUGUACUCUUAUAUUUAUAUCAUAAGAGAAGGAAGUUGUUAGUGCAUCAACCACACAUGAGGAAGGGAAGAAGGUGAAGGAGAUGGAAGCUAUUAGUGUACAACCGAUCUUGAAGGUGAAUUAUAUUAUGGGGUAAAUUUAUGAGGUAAAUUUACUAUUAGUUACUUAUAAAAUUAUAACUUGGUGGUUUUAGGAGAAAGUUUCAGAGAAUGCGGGAAAUGAUGAGGAAGUGAUUGCUAUUAGUGUACCACCGAUCUUGAAAGUGAAUUGUAUAAGUCCCAUGUUCUUCUAUCUUAUUUAGGAAUGAACAAGUGAUCGAGUUUUGUAGCAUGUAAAAAGUGAAGACUUUAUCAAUGGUGGCUUAUAUCGCGUAAAUAAAUGUUAUUUGUUUAUGAUAUAUUAUCACUUUAUUAUUAGUAGUGUGUUCGAUCUAUUAUUGUAGGUACUUACACUCGUUCAUUGUUGAUUCAAAUAAAGGGUCAAAGUAUAUUUUUGUAGAGCUCAGAACCUUUGUAGUAGGUUAAUGACUUCUGAACACGGUCAUUUACUAUAACCUUCAUGUUCUAUACUAAUUAGUUGUAUAUUUUAUUUAGUGAUCAUUCUGAAUAUAUACUAUACUCUUUGACGAAUAUAGGGCAAUGACCAUUUUUCAAUCUAAAAAAAAUUUGCAAAAGACUCGAAAAACCACAUUCUGGAAAACGGUAAAGGUAAGUAUAAGAGCAUUGAAAAAAUUAAUAGGAUGAUAUUUAUUUAAUGCAUCUGUAUGAUAUGUGUAUUAAUUAUUGGCUUUGAUGAAGUCGGAACUGUUGAAUGUGGGUAUUACGUUAUGAGAUAUAUGUGAGAAAUCGUAACUAAAGAGAAGAAUAUUAUCACAGAUGCGGUAUAUCUUUAAACUACUUAUAUAUAUUGUAACAUUAUAGAUAGUGUAAAUAGUAAAUAAAUAUAUAUAUAUAUUUCACUUUCUAUGUUUUAUAGAUUGAUACGAGGAGCUCGUACUUGCAACUUGAAUUGGAUGAAGUACGCGUGGAAUGGGCUAAAUAUUUAGGUCACUAUAUCUGAUGGACUUCCUAUAAAUUUUGUAAGACUGGAGUGACUUUGAGGCAUGCAUUCAAAGAGAUUUUACUGAAAAUUUCGGGUUGAAGAAAGAGUUCUUCAAACAGUGUGGCGCAGUGAGCUUCUCCUUUGUUUUCCAUCGGUUCAAGCUGUUCUUGAGUCCCACAACUCAUUCUAAAGCUCUAAAAGGAUAGUGGGGAAGAUCUUGAGGUGGUUCACAGUGUUUUUUGGAGAAUACAACUGCUGUUGAUCAAGAUCUUGAAAAGUUCUAUAAAGGUGUAUCGCUGACUUCACCAUGGAGGUCGAAUAUGUAGCGUCUUGUGAAGCUGCUAAGGAGGCUGUUUGACUUAGGAAGUUCCUGACUGAUCUGGAAGUUGUUCCAGACAUGUCUAGGCCCAUCACCCUUUAUUGUGAUAAUAGUGGUACUGUGGCGAAUUCUAGAGAGCCUCGGAGUCACAAGCGAGGCAAGCAUAUAAAGCAAAAAUACCAUCUCAUCAGAGAGAUGAUGCAUCGAGGGGACGUGAUUGUCACGAAGAUAGCUUCGAAGCACAACGUUGCUGAUCCUUUUAUAAAGACUCUCACGACUACAGUGUUUAAGGGUCACUUACAGAGCACAAUGUAUAUAUGUAGCAUGAUCGCAUAACGUGAACGCAAUCUUAGGAAGUGUUCUCAACCCGUCCCCUCGCAUACUCAUUGUAUCUUUCGUGUUAUUAACUCUUUUCUCAAUUUCACCGCAUAGAACCCAUACUGUCACUUUAGUCCCUAUGUUUGACCCUGGGCUUACCAAGCAACCUAAUAGAAUUUAUACUUAGAUUUUGCUAGGAAAA